rnacentral:misc_RNA from 1 species
CCGAGUGAGGGCCCCCCGGCCCGACCUCCAACCCAAUGUUGACCAACACCUGUUGCCUCGGGGGCGACCCGGACGCCGACACCGGCGCCGUCGCGCCCCCGAUGGACCAUUCCAACUCUGUGUCUAUGCGUCGGAGUAACGAGUGAAACAAUCA